GUGGGGGGUGGUCUGAAACCAAGCCUUCCUCCCAUCAGGUUAAGGCUGGAAACUUCUGGAAAUCCAAAACAGCCUCUCCUUCCCCUCAACUAGAAUGUCUCCCGCGUCUCCAGCCGUCCCCGGAUCCCGCCUCUCAAUUUGGGCUGCACCAAUCCGGAGCUAAACCUGGCGGUUGCUAAGAGACCGGAGGGCUCAUCUGCUCCCAUCGUGCUCCUGUUUCUCCUCUCUUCCCCCUUGAGAAGGCAGGAGCCUCACACCUCAAGAAGACAUGUGUGUGUCCUGAGGAUGUUCAGACCUCAUUCCCUUUCUCCCCAGGCCGGCUCACGAAACAGAUGCUGCCAGGAACAUCUGGCAGGAAAUGUCCUGCUCUCUCUCCCUUCUCCGUCCUCUCCUCUUCAUCCCCAGACAAAAUCAGAAACUACUCACUUCAUAAAAGCCGUGUAAACUUUAA